AAAACAGAAAAUCCAAAGAACUACACAUUUUCCAAAAUCCACAGUUUCAGGAACUCACCGUGUGAAACCCACAGUUCUCCAGCUUCUGGUAAUGCCUCUUACUUAAUCCAGGUAUGCAAUUUAUAGACUUGUCAAGAAAUAACUCACUCAGUGUAGGAUUUGGCUGUGACUCCAUCCCCACUUUCAUUUGACAAUCUUCCCUGGUUAUUUGAUCCGAUUUAUUUGCUUGUAUUGAAGGCAUUAAAUCAGGAAGCAAAGAAGAAGGAAAAGAAUUAUCUUUUCCUAAUGUGGAAGAUGCUACAGUAGAAUGCUUGACAUACAGAGAAGGCCAUUCUUCAGAAGCACUUUGC
rnacentral:lncRNA from 1 species